GUGUGCAGCCCGCAUAGCAGCUGUGAUUUCGGAUCCGGAUCAGCGUCUGGUUCGUGGUCAGGAUCAGAGCUCGGAGCUGGACUUUUCUCGCAAUUCUUGUACAGAGGAUUUGUAAUGUCAUCGACAGUGAAAAGUUCCAGCAAGUGUAGCAAACCGGAGGUGGAGAUUGGGAUUCAGCACGUGAAUUGCACGGAGGAUGCGNGCUGCCUUCGUGGCACUAGCGGCAGCCAUGGAUCUAAGCAUGGAUGCUUGCAGACUGUUUUCCCA
rnacentral:misc_RNA from 1 species